AAAAGAUCCUGAAAUUAUCAAGAACGCUUUAGAAGAAUUGAAAAAGUUGGUGGAAGAUAAAUGCCCCGAAGCGAAUGCAGCAAUUAACAAGUUAUCUGGUGGUUCAGACGAG